AUUGAACGCUGGCGGCAGGCCUAACACAUGCAAGUCGAACGGAGUGGCGGACGGGUGAGUAAUGUAUCGGAACGUGCCCAGUAGCGGGGGAUAACUACGCGAAAGCGUAGCUAAUACCGCAUACUAUUGGAGCGGCCGAUAUCGGAUUAGCUAGUUGGUGGGGUAACGGCUCACCAAGGCGACGAUCCGUAGCUGGUUUGAGAGGACGACCAGCCACACUGGGACUGAGACACGGCCCAGACUCCUACGGGAGGCAGCAGUGGGGAAUUUUGGACAAUGGGGGAAACCCUGAUCCAGCCAUCCCGCGUGUGCGAUGAAGGCCUUCGGGUUGUAAAGUACUUUCAGCGAGGAGGCGUUACUCGCAGAAGAAGCACCGGCUAACUCCGUGCCAGCAGCCGCGGUAAUUC
rnacentral:rRNA from 1 species